CAGCAGUGCACAGUGGAAUAUAAACGCAUGACUUUGACUCGUUCGUGGUUCAAAUUACAGUAACAACCUCCGAAAAAUAGAAAUAUUAAUAAAAAUAAAUACAAGGCAGCAGGGUGUCUACGGGCGGGGAGGAAGCAUUUCUUUUGAAUUACAAAUGAAAUGAUUUGAAUCAGAUUUGUUGCGGAAGUCGGUCCUGGGGGUUCGCUGUCUGUGUGCGUGUCGGCUCGUUUUUUUUUGUGAAGCGUCGUAUUCAGGGUUAGAUCAUUUCUAGUGUAAUGCAGAAUAUACGAUCCGAUUCAGCCGUGUGCCUUUCUAAACAAUCCGACUCGUCCGGCAUCCAUUCCUGACCGGUCCCAAAUACGGAACUCUUGUUUCCGGGAGGGGCGUGUGAAAGUGUGCGACAGGAAGUGUAGCAGCGGGUCACAUUGCGGUGUCGGGAGCGGUGUUUCGAAGGACAGUGAAUUGUUCAGCAUGUUUCUGUCGCGGAUCCCGGCUCACCUGCGCGCGGCCUCCUCUCUCGUCUCAGGCUGCCUGCAGUUCUCUGGAAGGCCAGUGUGUGGUGCUGUGGUGCUGAGCUGGCCCC